UACGGGGGGGGCAAGCGUUGUUCGGAAUUACUGGGCGUAAAGGGCUCGUAGGUGGCCAACUAAGUCAUGCGUGAAAUCCCUCGGCUUAACCGGGGAACUGCGUCUGAUACUGGAUGGCUUGAGUUUGGGAGAGGGAUGCGGAAUUCCAGGUGUAGCGGUGAAAUGCGUAGAUAUCAGGAGGAACACCGGUGGCGAAGGCGGGUCUCUGGGCAGUAACUGACGCUGAGGAGCGAAAGCGUGGGGAGCGAACAGG
rnacentral:rRNA from 1 species